UAAUACGGAGGGUGCAAGCGUUAUUCGGAAUUAUUGGGCGUAAAGGGCGCGUAGGCGGUCUUUUAAGUCAGAUGUGAAAGCCCGGGGCUUAACCCCGGAAGUGCAUUUGAAACUAAAGGGCUUGAGUAUGGGAGAGGGAAGUGGAAUUCCUGGUGUAGCGGUGAAAUGCGUAGAUAUCAGGAGGAACACCGGUGGCGAAGGCGACUUCCUGGACCAAUACUGACGCUAAGGCGCGAAGGCGUGGGUAGCAAACAGGAUUAGAUACCCUGGUAGUCUACGCAGUAAACGUUGUAUACUAGUUGUGGGGGGAAUUAGCCCCCUCCGUGACUGAGCUAACGCAUUAAGUAUACCGCCUGGGGACUACGGCCGCAAGGCUA
rnacentral:rRNA from 1 species